AUUUUUGGGGUGGCCCAGGUGGAUUUGGAGGUGCCAAGGUGAAUCCCCUGUGGAUUCUGAGCUGCUCCAGGUGAAUUUUGAGGCACCCAGGUGGAUUCCAAACUCCUUCUAUAAAUUCUGAGCUGCUCCCAACAGAUUUUUGAGGUGCUCCUGGUGCAUUUUGAAGCACCUCAAAUGGAUUUUGGGGUGCUCCAGGUGGAUUCUGAGCUGCUCCCAACAGAUUUUGGGGUUCCAGGUGGAUUUUAAGGCACCCCCAGGAAACGCUGCUCUCUCCGGGCUCCACUCUGGGAUCAUCCAGGUGCAUCCACAGCAGCAGGAAACGCUGCUCUCUCCGGGCUCCACUCUGGGAUCAUCCAGGUGGAUUUUAAGGCACCCCCAGGAAACGCUGCUCUCUCCGGGCUCCACUCUGGGAUCAUCCAGGUGCAUCCACAGCAGCUCCAUGGCAGGUUUUGGGUGUCCCUGGCAGAUUUUACAGUGCCCCCAGCAGAAUUUGGGGUGCCCCCGGCAGAUUUUGGAGUAUUCCUGCCAGAUUUUGGGGUAUUCCUGCCAGAUUUUGGGGUAUUCCUGGUGUAUUUUGGGGUGUCCCUGGCAGGUUUUGGUGUGUCCCUGGCAGGAUUUGAGAUGUCCCCGACAGGUUUGGGGUGCCCCCAGCAGAUUUUGGAGUAUUCCUGGCAGAUUUGGGGGUAUUCCU
rnacentral:lncRNA from 12 species